GUUCAAAAUGUAGUGAUGUCUUUUCCAAGCACAUAUCGGAUUGCUCUGUGUGGAAAAUGACUGUUGCUGAGUGAUUUUGUGU
rnacentral:snoRNA from 1 species